GCACUUGGCCAUGUCAUUUUUUUUAUUUUGCUGUCAGCCCUUGUCCAUGCCUAUGGUGCUGCUUUUGUUUAAUUAUUUGGCUGAAAAUAGCACUUGUCGAGACUUCUCGUUGCUAACUAUAACUUAGUGACUGAAAAUAGCUGCUGCAGUCUACUUAGAUGGGUAACAUAACUUGAGUUACAUGAAGGAAAGGAAUCACCCCCUAAUACUCUCUCUGAUGUGCCUUUUUUUAUUACAAUAUGCUAUGUUACUUCAAUUGAUAUUGGUUUUCAGGUCCAGCCGCCCUGGAUAAAAAGGUCAAAUUCAACCUUGACAUAGUAAGCAAAUUCGAAAAAACUGGAGAAUUAGAACAGAAGCCAUGGAACAGAAUUAGAACUGAAGAAAAUCGAGAGUUCUCUGUUCUUUUUUGUUCAGCACGGCAACAAGUUGCUAAUAAAAAUUCUUGCUGGAUGAAAACUUGUACUUGAUGUGUUGGAAGAAAGACUUUGUAUUUGAUGUAAUACUGGAUGAAAAGUUGUUGUAUUUGA